GCUGGCAGCUUGCUCUCUGCAACUCUCACAAUGAAGCUAAGCAGGGCUGCGCCUUGUCAAUACCUGGAUGGGAGACCACAUGGGAUAGCUAGGUUGUUGCCGGAA
rnacentral:rRNA from 1 species